rnacentral:rRNA from 1 species
GACGAACGCUGGCGGCGUGCUUAACACAUGCAAGUCGAACGGAAAGGCCCUGCUUUUGUGGGGUGCUCGAGUGGCGAACGGGUGAGUAACACGUGAGUAACCUGCCCUUGACUUUGGGAUAACUUCAGGAAACUGGGGCUAAUACCGGAUAGGAGCUCCUGCUGCAUUGUGGGGGUUGGAAAGUUUCGGCGGUUGGGGAUGGACUCGCGGCUUAUCAGCUUGUUGGUUGGGUAGUGGCUUACCAAGGCUUUGACGGGUAGCCGGCCUGAGAGGGUGACCGGCCACAUUGGGACUGAGAUACGGCCCAGACUCCUACGGGAGGCAGCAGUGGGGAAUAUGGCACAAUGGGCGGAAGCCUGAUGCAGCAACGCCGCGUGCGGGAUGACGGCCUUCGGGUUGUAAAACGCUUUCGCCUGUGACGAAGCGUGAGUGACGGUAAUGGGUAAAGAAGCACCGGCUAACUACGUG